rnacentral:tRNA from 1 species
GCUCCUAAAACAUUUACUGGAUGAUGUCCUGCCUUGUAAGCAGGGGAAUGUGGCUCGAUUCCACAUAGGAGCUCCA